AUUGAACGCUGGCGGCAGGCCUAACACAUGCAAGUCGAGCGGAUGAAGGGAGCUUGCUCCUGGAUUCAGCGGCGGACGGGUGUGUAAUGCCUAGGAAUCUGCCUGGUAGUGGGGGAUAACGUCCGGAAACGGGCGCUAAUACCGCAUACGUCCUGAGGGAGAAAGUGGGGGAUCUUCGGACCUCACGCUAUCAGAUGAGCCUAUGUCGGAUUAGCUAGUUGGUGGGGUAAAGGCCUACCAAGGCGACGAUCCGUAACUGGUCUGAGAGGAUGAUCAGUCACACUGGAACUGAGACACGGUACAGACUCCUACGGGAGGCAGCAGUGGGGAAUAUUGGACAAUGGGCGAAAGCCUGAUCCAGCAAAGCCGCGUGUGUGAAGAAGGUCUUCGGAUUGUAAAGCACUUUAAGUUGGGAGGAAGGGCAGUAAGUUAAUACCUUGCUGUUUUGACGUUACCAACAGAAUAAGCACCGGCUAACUACGUG
rnacentral:rRNA from 1 species